AUGUUAUGUGCAAAAUUCAAUAAAAUACCGAAAAAACUCCUGUUACUCAUAUUAAUAAUUCCAAAUCUUUUUUCUUGCUCGCUUGCUUUUCCCCCUUCCUUCCUCCCUCUUUUCUUGUUUUUGUUUUGUUUUGUUUUGUUUGCAAAAGAGGAAACAUCGAAGCCAAGUUACAGUCAACAGCUGAAGUGUCAGGUACCUUUGGACAGCUCUGCAGACUGUUUUGUGUCCUCUCAUAGGACCAUAGCGAAGACUUCCAUGCAUUGUACUUCACAAGUCUUUUGGAUGCCAACAGUGCCUAGGUUUCUUUUAUUGCUCCCAGUUAUAUACUGUUGAGGGCCCUGAAAAUUUUCAAGGAAGGAAAAAAUGGUAUAUAAUAAGUCUAUGGGCACUCCCGUCAUGGCUCAGCAGAAACAAAUCUGAGUAGUGGCCAUAAGGACACAGGUUCGAUCCCUAGCCUCGCUUGGUAGGUUAAGGAUCUGGCAUUGCCAUGAGCUGUGGUGUAGGUCGAAGAUGCGGCUCAGAUCUGGCAUUGCUGUGGCUGUGGUGUAGGCGGUGGCUACAACUUGGAUUCGAUCUCUGGCCUGGGAACCUCCAUGUGCCUCAGGUGCAGCCCUAAAAAGACAAAAAUAAUGUCUAUGUCUUCAUACAUUCUUUCAUUUAGAUUAGGAAAUGGUGAGAAAGCAAAUGUACAUUAUUUCAUCCAAAAAUAUGUCUUGAGCACUAUCCUGUUCAAAGCCCUGGGAGAGGGUAUGGGAGUGAGCACGAAGGUGACCCUGCCAUCAGAGAACUUAGCAUCUAGUGGGUGAUGAGCUUGUAGGUCAGGAUUCUCAUCAUUUAGAUGGAGAACAGUCAAGGGUUAAAUAAGAACAUUUUGUUGUCCAUACGUAUUUUCUCUAUAAGUCCAAUAUUUUUUGCACAUGACAGACUGUAAUUUCUACGAAUCACCCUUUAUAUUACCCAUGGUUCUUAUUUUGUACUUAGCAAUGUUGAUCCUAAAUCUUUUUCCUAAUAGCAGCUAGUUGCUCAAAGGUGUUUGUGCUUUUGGAAUGUCAACAAGUCCAACUUCACCAAAACAGAGGCCCUCUUGUUUCCAUCUGGAAUUUUACUUUGUCUUUUUUUUUUUUUUAAGUGCAAAUUUCAGCUGCCUUAAGUAUAUAGUAAUGAGCUAUUAGAGAAAAGAACAAAAUAUAUUUUUCUGAGUCUCUGGUUGAUAGAAGAAGUAGCUGUUUUUAAACUUUCUGGUCAUGCAGCUAUGGUUGUGGACUCCAUGAGCCAUAAUUGGUAAGCAUUUCAUUUUAAGGAACAAAAUCUUAAAGUCUUCUGCAAAUAUUUACAGGGUGAACGAGGAGAUGCAGGUGGUUUCCAGCAGAUCGCCGCUAUCCUCUUUGAACCAUGCCUGUGUCCAAGGAAAUUCUCACCUUUCUGUCCUACUUCAGCAGAAACAAACGUGUACAUAGCUAUUGCUGUGCGUGUUUGUGUAUCUUAUGGGGGGUACAGCCUGCUCAAUCCUCUGAUCAUUUUCCUGUACUCGCUUUUGUAUUAUAACCUUCAUCCAUAUUGAGCCUUUCUCUCCCUUAGGUCCCUUUAUAGUUUAUUUGUAAGUUCCAUUAAUCACAGCCCACAUGUAGCCACCGCUAUAUUAGUUUGUUUGGGAAACAAUCCCUCUUUGUUCACUCCAGACGAUACCUGAUAACUCGAGUCAUGGUAGAGGAGAAAGGGCCAAAUGAAGAACUACAACCUCUGAUGACAAUACAGGCUUUUACAGUCUAGGGUCAGUGAAGUCCUUGUUUUGGAAAUGAAGCUGCAGAGAAGGAACAAAAGAAAUAACCCAGAAAUCUGAUUUCAAGACACACAUUUGACAAGGACAUGCAUAUAGGUGGCACAGUCCCUCACCCAUGUUUGGACCAAUUUGGCACAAUAAAUGCUUUUAUUUUUUAUUUUAUUUAAUUAAU
rnacentral:lncRNA from 1 species